rnacentral:rRNA from 1 species
CCUACGGGAGGCAGCAGUGAGGAAUAUUGGUCAAUGGGCGGGAGCCUGAACCAGCCAAGUAGCGGGAGGGAAGACGGUCCGAUGGAGUGUAAACCUCUUUAGGAGGGGAGCAACGCCGGGCACGCGUGCCCGGAGGGAGAGGACCCGCAGAUGAAGCAGCGGCCACCCCCUUGCCAGCAGCCGCGGUAAUACGGAGGAUGCGCGCGUUAUCCGGAUUUAUUGGGUUGAAAGGGUGCGUAGGCGGAUUUUUACGUCAGCGGUAAAAUGUCCGGGCUCAACCCGGGCCGGCCGUUGAAACUGGUGAUCUUGAGUGGGCUAGAGGUAUGCGGAAUGCGUGGUGUAGCGGU